CAGAUACUCACAGAAGAUUCCCUGGAAGAGGCCUUAAGUGGCCUGUGGCUCCAGUUCAGCAGCCUGAAUACUGUGUGGGCUGCGCGUGGUGACUAUUUGUGCUCUAUAUGAAAAUUUUUGUUCUUGAUUUUUCCAAAAUUUAUCGAGUUUUGCCUCAAAACUCUCUACUGAGUCAGCGUUCACUACCCACUCUGGCAAACUGUUCCAGGUAUUAACCACCCGGUUGGGGAAUGAAAACUUCCGAACAUUCAGCCUAGCUCUUGGUUUAAAGAUUUUCUUAGAGUUUCCCCGUGUGGUGCUAUCUUCCCUUAAAUCAAAAAGUCCCUCUGUACAAUCUAUAUCAUAUUUCCUGGUUACAAUUUUAAAAGUUUCAAUUUGGUCUCCCCGGGAUCUUCUAUAUGCCAGUGUGGGCAACUCAAGCUGUCUCAGUCUCUCUCCAUAUGGCAGGUCUUUCAGGCAAGGCACCAGCUUCGUUGCUCUUCGCUGCACGUUCUCCACAGCCUCAACAUCCUUCACCAGGUGUGGACUCCAUACCUGGUUGGCAUAUUCUAAAUGGGGUCUUACCAAUGCAGUGUAGAGUGUCUUGAAUACUGCAGGGUCAAGAUGCUGGACUUUGUGGACCCUGGCGGCCAUGAGGAGGUGUCCGUGGGCGCUGGGCAAGGCCGAGAGCGAGGAGUACAGCACACUGGAUGAGGGGGACCAUGGAUGGUGCAGGGCUCUCAGGAGAUGGACAAGCAGAAACAGGGGACCAGAACUCACAGGUGUUCUUUAUUGAGUGUGUGAGUGCUGCUGUCGUCACCAUGAACACCUGCUCGGAGGCACCAAGACCCAUCAAGCCAGUCCGCCAUGCAAGACUGCCUGGUCAAGAUGGGGUCCAGCCUUGCACAGAACUGCUUGGCUGGCCAGUGCCACAAGUUGGUGGUGACAAAGUAAAGCCCUCCAUGACUGCUACAGCCUGAUGGAUCUCAAGGUGUGUGGUGACCCAGGCUGUGGAGGGUGGCUGCCACACUCACUGCUCCAGCCACUCACAGCUGUACCUCAGGAGCCAGACACCAUCUGCUUCACUCCUGCCCAGACUUUGCCACUCACACACAACAGCUGCUUCAUCUUAAGGAUCAGCGAUGUGGAACCAGCUGUACCACCACCACCACCACCACCAGGGGAGCCACUCACUGCCACAAGAAGGAAGGAAGCAGGAAGAAGAAGAAGAAGAAGAAGAAAAAGAAGAGGACACACAGAGAGAGAAGAGGAGGAAGAAGAAGAGGAAGGAUUUGUAAUAUGGCAGACAUCAAACCAAUGGAGCUGACCAGCCGCCCCAGAGAGCCCAGCGACCACACCCUGCAAGACAGCCUGCUCAUCCUGGGACACACACAGCCUCACCGUUCAGGCAGGAGACUGACGGGACGAGAACAACAACAACAACAACAACAAGAGGAGGAGGGGGAGGAGGGUGGUACACAGGAGUGACUGGUGGGUGUUUGGUGACCCAGGGCGUUGAGGGAAGCCAGACGCUCUCCUAUAGGGCUUCAGGCAGAUACAACUCCCUCAUCACCUGCUUCACUCCAGCCCAGACUUUGCCACUCACACCCAACAGCUUCAUCUUAAGGCAGAAGAAGAAGAAGAAGAAGAAGAAGAAAACACACAGAGAGAGAAGAGGAGGAAGAAGAAGAGGAAGGACUUGUAAUAUGGCAGACAUCAAACCAAUGAAUUGAACAGCUGAAUGGACUCCAUCUCUUGAGGGGCGGCUUCGUAUCCCAGCGUGAUCUCCUGCAAGGCAUCCCAGCACACACCACAUGCUCUGGAGGGGGAGAGAACGACAAGAUGAAUCGGCCUUGUCUUGGAGGAAAUGUACUCUGUUUUGACUUUGCUCUCAAUAAACAUAGACCCUAA